rnacentral:rRNA from 1 species
UUAAGUUAUUAAGGGCGCACGGUGGAUGCCUUGGCACUAGAAGCCGAUGAAGGACGUUACUAACGACGAUAUGCUUUGGGGAGCUGUAAGUAAGCUUUGAUCCAGAGAUUUCCGAAUGGGGAAACCCAGCAUGAGUUAUGUCAUGUUAUCGAUAUGUGAAUACAUAGCAUAUCAGAAGGCACACCCGGAGAACUGAAACAUCUUAGUACCCGGAGGAAGAAAAAGAAAAUUCGAUUCCCUUAGUAGCGGCGAGCGAAACGGGAAGAGCCCAAACCAACAAGCUUGCUUGUUGGGGUUGUAGGACACUCUAUACGGAGUUACAAAGGACGACAUUAGACGAAUCAUCUGGAAAGAUGAAUCAAAGAAGGUAAUAAUCCUGUAGUCGAAAAUGUUGUCUCUCUUGAGUGGAUCCUGAGUACGACGGAGCACGUGAAAUUCCGUCGGAAUCUGGGAGGACCAUCUCCUAAGGCUAAAUACUCUCUAGUGACCGAUAGUGAACCAGUACCGUGAGGGAAAGGUGAAAAGCACCCCGGAAGGGGAGUGAAAUAGAACCUGAAACCGUGUGCUUACAAGUAGUCAGAGCCCGUUAAUGGGUGAUGGCGUGCCUUUUGUAGAAUGAACCGGCGAGUUACGAUUUGAUGCAAGGUUAAGCAGUAAAUGUGGAGCCGUAGCGAAAGCGAGUCUGAAUAGGGCGUUUAGUAUUUGGUCGUAGACCCGAAACCAGGUGAUCUACCCUUGGUCAGGUUGAAGUUCAGGUAACACUGAAUGGAGGACCGAACCGACUUACGUUGAAAAGUGAGCGGAUGAACUGAGGGUAGCGGAGAAAUUCCAAUCGAACCUGGAGAUAGCUGGUUCUCUCCGAAAUAGCUUUAGGGCUAGCCUCAAGUGAUGAUUAUUGGAGGUAGAGCACUGUUUGGACGAGGGGCCCCUCUCGGGUUACCGAAUUCAGACAAACUCCGAAUGCCAAUUAAUUUAACUUGGGAGUCAGAACAUGGGUGAUAAGGUCCGUGUUCGAAAGGGAAACAGCCCAGACCACCAGCUAAGGUCCCAAAAUAUAUGUUAAGUGGAAAAGGAUGUGGCGUUGCCCAGACAACUAGGAUGUUGGCUUAGAAGCAGCCAUCAUUUAAAGAGUGCGUAAUAGCUCACUAGUCGAGUGACACUGCGCCGAAAAUGUACCGGGGCUAAAACAUAUUACCGAAGCUGUGGAUUGUCCUUUGGACAAUGGUAGGAGAGCGUUCUAAGGGCGUUGAAGCAUGAUCGUAAGGACAUGUGGAGCGCUUAGAAGUGAGAAUGCCGGUGUGAGUAGCGAAAGACGGGUGAGAAUCCCGUCCACCGAUUGACUAAGGUUUCCAGAGGAAGGCUCGUCCGCUCUGGGUUAGUCGGGUCCUAAGCUGAGGCCGACAGGCGUAGGCGAUGGAUAACAGGUUGAUAUUCCUGUACCACCUAUAAUCGUUUUAAUCGAUGGGGGGACGCAGUAGGAUAGGCGAAGCGUGCGAUUGGAUUGCACGUCUAAGCAGUAAGGCUGAGUAUUAGGCAAAUCCGGUACUCGUUAAGGCUGAGCUGUGAUGGGGAGAAGACAUUGAGUCUUCGAGUCGUUGAUUUCACACUGCCGAGAAAAGCCUCUAGAUAGAAAAUAGGUGCCCGUACCGCAAACCGACACAGGUAGUCAAGAUGAGAAUUCUAAGGUGAGCGAGCGAACUCUCGUUAAGGAACUCGGCAAAAUGACCCCGUAACUUCGGGAGAAGGGGUGCUCUUUAGGGUUAACGCCCAGAAGAGCCGCAGUGAAUAGGCCCAAGCGACUGUUUAUCAAAAACACAGGUCUCUGCUAAACCGUAAGGUGAUGUAUAGGGGCUGACGCCUGCCCGGUGCUGGAAGGUUAAGAGGAGUGGUUAGCUUCUGCGAAGCUACGAAUCGAAGCCCCAGUAAACGGCGGCCGUAACUAUAACGGUCCUAAGGUAGCGAAAUUCCUUGUCGGGUAAGUUCCGACCCGCACGAAAGGCGUAACGAUUUGGGCACUGUCUCAACGAGAGACUCGGUGAAAUCAUAGUACCUGUGAAGAUGCAGGUUACCCGCGACAGGACGGAAAGACCCCGUGGAGCUUUACUGUAGCCUGAUAUUGAAAUUCGGCACAGCUUGUACAGGAUAGGUAGGAGCCUUUGAAACGUGAGCGCUAGCUUACGUGGAGGCGCUGGUGGGAUACUACCCUAGCUGUGUUGGCUUUCUAACCCGCACCACUUAUCGUGGUGGGAGACAGUGUCAGGCGGGCAGUUUGACUGGGGCGGUCGCCUCCUAAAAGGUAACGGAGGCGCUCAAAGGUUCCCUCAGAAUGGUUGGAAAUCAUUCAUAGAGUGUAAAGGCAUAAGGGAGCUUGACUGCGAGACCUACAAGUCGAGCAGGGUCGAAAGACGGACUUAGUGAUCCGGUGGUUCCGCAUGGAAGGGCCAUCGCUCAACGGAUAAAAGCUACCCCGGGGAUAACAGGCUUAUCUCCCCCAAGAGUUCACAUCGACGGGGAGGUUUGGCACCUCGAUGUCGGCUCAUCGCAUCCUGGGGCUGUAGUCGGUCCCAAGGGUUGGGCUGUUCGCCCAUUAAAGCGGUACGCGAGCUGGGUUCAGAACGUCGUGAGACAGUUCGGUCCCUAUCCGUCGUGGGCGUAGGAAAUUUGAGAGGAGCUGUCCUUAGUACGAGAGGACCGGGAUGGACAUACCUCUGGUGUACCAGUUGUCGUGCCAACGGCAUAGCUGGGUAGCUAUGUGUGGACGGGAUAAGUGCUGAAAGCAUCUAAGCAUGAAGCCCCCCUCAAGAUGAGAUUUCCCAACUUCGGUUAUAAGAUCCCUCAAAGAUGAUGAGGUUAAUAGGUUCGAGGUGGAAGCAUGGUGACAUGUGGAGCUGACGAAUACUAAUCGAUCGAAGACUUAAUCAA